rnacentral:rRNA from 1 species
UACGGAGGGUGCGAGCGUUGUUCGGAAUUAUUGGGCGUAAAGCGCGCGCAGGCGGCUCUCUAAGUCCAUGGGUAAAAGGCCGGGGCUCAACCCCGUGUACGCCCAGGAUACUGGGGAGCUGGAGACACGUAGAGGCAAGCGGAAUUCCGGGUGUAGCGGUGGAAUGCGUAGAGAUCCGGAAGAACACCAGUGGCGAAGGCGGUUAGCUGGGCAGUUGCUGACACUGAUGCGCGACAGCGUGGGGAGCAAACAGG